rnacentral:rRNA from 1 species
CCGUCUCAGUUCGGAUCGCAGGCUGCAACCCGCCUGCGUGAAGUCGGAAUCGCUAGUAAUCGCGGAUCAGCAUGCCGCGGUGAAUACGUUCCCGGGCCUUGUACACACCGCCCGUCACACCAUGAGAGUCGGGAACACCCGAAGUCCGUAGCCUAACUAGCAAUAGAGGGCGCGGCCGAAGGUGGGUUCGAUAAUUGGGGUGAAGUCGUAACAAGGUACC